CUCAGAAUGCAGUGGCAAUAUCAUAGCCCAUGAGGUUAAACUGAGGUGUGAUUAUUGCUAGUUGAAAGCUCACAAGUACUAAUGAUUCUUUUGAGAUGCAUGCUUUGAUAGAGAUAGUAAUAUUUGUUUACCAAGCAACAAUUGU
rnacentral:snRNA from 1 species